AGUGAUCGCUGGCGGUAGGCCUAACACAUGCAAGUCGAACGGCAGCACAGGAGAGCUUGCUCUCUGGGUGGCGAGUGGCGGACGGGUGAGGAAUACAUCGGAAUCUACUUUUUCGUGGGGGAUAACGUAGGGAAACUUACGCUAAUACCGCAUACGACCUACGGGUGAAAGCAGGGGACCUUCGGGCCUUGCGCGAUUGAAUGAGCCGAGGUCGGAUUAGCUAGUUGGCGGGGUAAAGGCCCACCAAGGCGACGAUCCGUAGCUGGUCUGAGAGGAUGAUCAGCCACACUGGAACUGAGAAACGGUCCAGACUCCUACGGGAGGCAGCAGUGGGGAGUAUUGGACAAUGGGCGCAAGCCUGAUCCAGCCAUACCGCGUGGGUGAAGAAGGCCUUCGGGUUGUAAAGCCCUUUUGUUGGGAAAGAAAUCCAGCUGGCUAAUACCCGGUUGGGAUGACGGUACCCAAAGAAUAAGCACCGGCUAACUUCGUGCCAGCCGCCGCCGUAA
rnacentral:rRNA from 1 species